rnacentral:rRNA from 1 species
GAUGAACGCUGGCGGCGUGCCUAAUACAUGCAAGUCGAGCGAACGGACGAGAAGCUUGCUUCUCUGAUGUUAGCGGCGGACGGGUGAGUAACACGUGGAUAACCUACCUAUAAGACUGGGAUAACUUCGGGAAACCGGAGCUAAUACCGGAUAAUAUUUUGAACCGCAUGGUUCAAAAGUGAAAGACGGUCUUGCUGUCACUUAUAGAUGGAUCCGCGCUGCAUUAGCUAGUUGGUAAGGUAACGGCUUACCAAGGCAACGAUGCAUAGCCGACCUGAGAGGGUGAUCGGCCACACUGGAACUGAGACACGGUCCAGACUCCUACGGGAGGCAGCAGUAGGGAAUCUUCCGCAAUGGGCGAAAGCCUGACGGAGCAACGCCGCGUGAGUGAUGAAUGUCUUCGGAUCGUAAAACUCUGUUAUUAGGGAAGAACAUAUGUGUAAGUAACUGUGCACAUCUUGACGGUACCUAAUCAGAAAGCCACGGCUAACCACGUGCCAGCAGCCGCGGUAAUACGUAGGCGGCAAGCGUUAUCCGGAAUUAUUGGGCGUAAAGCGCGCGUAGGCGGUUUUUUAAGUCUGAUGUGAAGGCCCACGGCUCCACCGUGGAGGGUCAUUGGAAACUGGAAAAACUUAGUGCAGAAGAGGAAAGUGAAAUUCCAUGGUAGCGGUGAAAUGCGCAGAGAUAUGGAGGAACACCAGUGGCGAAGGCGGACUUUCUGUUCUGUAACUGCCGCUGAUGUGCGAAAGCGUGGGGAUCAACCAGGAUUAGAUACCUUGUUAGUCCACGCCGUAAACGAUGAGUGCUAAGUGUUAGGGGGUUUCCGCCCUUUAGUGCUGCAGCUAACGCAUUAAGCACUCCGCCUGGGGAGUACGACCGCAAGGUUGAAACUCAAAGGAAUUGACGGGGACCCGCACAAGCGGUGGAGCAUGUGGUUUAAUUCGAAGCAACGCGAAGAACCUUACCAAAUCUUGACAUCCUUUGACAACUCUAGAGAUAGAGCCUUCCCCUUCGGGGGACAAAGUGACAGGUGGUGCAUGGUUGUCGUCAGCUCGUGUCGUGAGAUGUUGGGUUAAGUCCCGCAACGAGCGCAACCCUUAAGCUUAGUUGCCAUCAUUAAGUUGGGCACUCUAAGUUGACUGCCGGUGACAAACCGGAGGAAGGUGGGGAUGACGUCAAAUCAUCAUGCCCCUUAUGAUUUGGGCUACACACGUGCUACAAUGGACAAUACAAAGGGCAGCGAAACCGCGAGGUCAAGCAAAUCCCAUAAAGUUGUUCUCAGUUCGGAUUGUAGUCUGCAACUCGACUACAUGAAGCUGGAAUCGCUAGUAAUCGUAGAUCAGCAUGCUACGGUGAAUACGUUCCCGGGUCU